AAACUUGAGAGUUUGAUCAUGGCUCAGAACGUACGCUGGCGGCACGCCUAACACAUGCAAGUCGAACGAAGUAGCAAUACUUAGUGGCAGACGGGUGAGUAACAUGUGGGUAUCUGCCCUUUGGCCUGGAAUAACACGAGGAAACUUGUGCUAAUACCGGAUAAGUCUUUACGGAGAAAGCUUUAUGCACCAUUGGAUGAGCCCGCACUUGAUUAGUUUGUUGGUGGGGUAAUGGCCUACCAAGACUGUGAUCAAUAGCUGAUUUGAGAGGAUGAUCAGCCACAUUGGGACUGAGACACGGCCCAAACUCCUACGGGAGGCAGCAGUGGGGAAUCUUGCACAAUGGAGGAAACUCUGAUGCAGCGAUGCCGCGUGAGUGAAGAAGGCCUUUGGGUUGUAAAGCUCUUUCGUCGGGGAAGAAAAUGACUGUACCCGAAUAAGAAGGUCCGGCUAACUUCGUGCCAGCAGCCGCGGUAAUACGAAGGGACCUAGCGUAGUUCGGAAUUACUGGGCUUAAAGAGUUCGUAGGUGGUUGAAAAAGUUGGUGGUGAAAUCCCAGAGCUUAACUCUGGAACUGCCAUCAAAACUUUUCAGCUAGAGUUUGAUAGAGGAAAGCAGAAUUUCUAGUGUAGAGGUGAAAUUCGUAGAUAUUAGAAAGAAUACCAAUUGCGAAGGCAGCUUUCUGGAUCAUUACUGACACUGAGGAACGAAAGCAUGGGUAGCGAAGAGGAUUAGAUACCCUCGUAGUCCAUGCCGUAAACGAUGUGUGUUAGACGUUGGAAAUUUAUUUUCAGUGUCGCAGCGAAAGCGAUAAACACACCGCCUGGGGAGUACGACCGCAAGGUUAAAACUCAAAUGAAUUGACGGGGACCCGCACAAGUAGUGGAGCAUGUGGUUUAAUUCGAAGAUACGCGCAGAACCUUACCAACACUUGACAUGUUCGUCGCGACUUUAAGAGAUUAAAGUUUUCGGUUCGGCCGGACGAAACACAGGUGCUGCAUGGCUGUCGUCAGCUCGUGUCGUGAGAUGUUGGGUUAAGUCCCGCAACGAGCGCAACCCUCACUUUUAGUUGCCAUCAUUUAGUUGGGCACUCUGAAAGAACUGCCAGUGAUAAGCUGGAGGAAGGUGGGGAUGACGUCAAGUCCUCAUGGCCCUUACGUGUUGGGCUACACACGUGCUACAAUGGUAUCUACAACAGGAAGCAAAACAGCGAUGUUAAGCAAAUCCUUAAAAGAUACCUCAGUUCGGAUUGCACUCUGCAACUCGAGUGCAUGAAGCUGGAAUUACUAGUAAUCGUGGAUCAGCGUGCCACGGUGAAUGCGUUCCCGGGUCUUGUACACACCGCCCGUCACACCAUGGGAGUUGGUUCUACCUUAAGGCAAGGUUUAAUACCCUUGACCACGGUAUAGUCAGCGACUGGGGUGAAGUCGUAACAAGGUAGCCGUAGGGGAACCUGCGGCUGGAUUACCUCCUUU
rnacentral:rRNA from 1 species